rnacentral:lncRNA from 1 species
UGAUUGUUGCCUUAUCCGCUAAAAACAAAAUUGGCUUUAUUUAUGGCACAUGUCCCCGGCCAGUCACUAAUGUGACUGAGCAAAGACUAUGGGACAGAUACAAUAAUAUGGUAAUUUCCUGGUUAACUGCCUCCCUGUCCCCUCAAAUUGCUGAAAGUGUGCAAGAAGCAGAGACAAGUCCAGUCCCCUUCUCAGUUUAAUCCAGAAUCUAUGUCUUUCAAUGUCCACACAAAUAGACAUUUAGUUGGAUUCAAUAGGGUCACAGUGCCUAAUCCUUCUCCUUCUUUCAGACAAAGAGUCAAUUUUGACCAAGCCAGAGGAUCUUUAUUCUGUAGAUACUGCAAAAAAUCUGGGCACUUAAUUGAUAAGUGUUUCAAGAUUCAUGGGUAUCCACAAAGUACAACAUUUAACAAGGGUAGGAGACCUGCUGCUGUUCAUCUAACUGCUGGUGUGGAUUUCCCUUCUUCUGAAGGACAUGUGUCUGUUCCCCAAGGAAAUCCUCCUGAUAGCCAUCACUCUGUUACAAACAUAGAUGGCCAGUGUUCUGUGAUACCAGGGUUGAGCAGACAACAGUAUGACCAAUUUAUGAGCUUGUUACAACAGACCCAGUUAGGGGAUUCCACUGCUCAGACUCUUCCUCCCAUGUAUGCUGCUAAUUUUGCUGGUACAAUGCUAACUGAGAGCCCUAUUUCUGAUUCCAAACUUUGCAUGCUUACUCAUAGUAACUCUGCCACCUGGAUAAUAGACUCAGGGGCAUCUAAUCAUAUGACAUAUGAUAAAAAUUUACUCUUCAACAUAACACCUUUAACUGUACCCUACCUUGUAACUCUUCCUAAUGGAUUACUCAUAUUAACUCUGCCACCUGGAUAAUAGACUCAGGGGCAUCUAAUCAUAUGACAUAUGAUGAAAAUUUACUUUUCAACAUAACACCUUUAACUGUACCCUACCUUGUAACUCUUCCUAAUGGAUAUAAAGUGAAAGUUACAUGCACAGGAUCUUUUGCAUUAAAUCCUUCCAUUACCCUUCAAAAUGUCUUGUUAGUUCCUUCUUUUAAACACAACUUGAUUUCUGUCCACAAGUU